GCAUGCUCCGAGCGCGGCGCCCCCGACGCGGCGCUCGGCUCGGCUCGGGCAUUUCCGCCUCUUUGUUUUAAACUCCGGACGGGCUUUUUUCUCCUCCUCUUGGGGGGGACCCAGAGGGAGCGGCGCCCCCUCCCCCCUCCGGCGCGGACCCCGCGUGCGCCUUGCUCGCCCGCAGCCCCGAGACCGCAGGCGUCACAAUGUAGCAGGGACUCCAGGCGUCGUGCUCAGAAAAUGGAAAAAGAGCCAGGGCCGGAAGGAGGGUGCAGAAGCGAGUCCGCGUGCGGAGCCAGGAGGCAGCGUCGCGUGGGAGUGCUGGCCUGAAGCCUCCAUGCCCCGGCAGAGGGACGGACACGCGGACGUCUAGCGGAGGUGAGGCCCACGCCCCCCGACCCCCGACCCCGGGGGUCCUGCUGACUCCUUGCCCUGCCCUGUUGCUGGUUGUGGCGAGGGCCGGCGAUCAUUAGUAGCCGGCUGGUCAGGACACGAUGCAGCGUUCACUGUUCACUGCCGAGUUUUCCUGGCCCCUCCUGUGAGAGUCCAAGGUCCAGCCAGCUGUGGGGGGCCGAGGCCUCGAUGGCAGUGCGGGGUGCAGAGGGCUGGUCUCCUUCCGU
rnacentral:sRNA from 1 species